ensembl:lncRNA
GUGAAAACAAAGACAAAAUCAAAGGAAAAAGAAGUGGAUCGGCGAUGGCUAGUAGACCGGCAACGCCGAGCGCCGCCCGAACAAGGAGAGGCACCGACUUCGGCGGAAGUCGUGACAGUGAUGGCUCUAUCAUUCGCCAUACCUUAUAUUCCAGUGCAUCCAUCAAAAUGCAUGUCCACCAUGUUAUUGGUGCGGCAGGUAGCCUAGUGGUUAACGUGUUGGACUAAAAAGGUUGCAAGACCGAAUCCCUGAGCUGACAAGCCGCUGCCCAGGCUCCAUCGUUUGGCCCAGUGCUCAGAGACUGCCGCAACUGCUUGCACCAGCUGGGCCAUUCCCGUUCCACCUCCCAAGAUGGCCUCCUGUCGCUCCCAGCGGUAUGCAGUGCGGAAGCUGGCUUUCCAAACUGUUGCUCCAAACCACCAUCACCUGGAUGAACUGAAAUUCCCCAACCUGCCUCACCUUUCAAGCAGUUUUCCCAUGCUUCAAUGGAAUACAUACAGUAUUGACUCCAUAUGGCCAUUCACAGCCAUUUUAUACAGCCUAUGUUAACGGUCCAGUGCUGAAUGUACUACCAACACAGCCCUACAUUGCCCAGCAUGAUUAUACUCUAUGUCAGGGAUGGGCAACUUUGAUGGGGUGGGGGCCACACAAAAAAUCUGAACUUAUCAUGAGGGGUUGCAUACCCACAUCCAUACCCACAUAUGCAGUCUGAGCCGGCCCUAGCCUUCUGGGGGUCAUAAGUAAAAUUUUGUUGGGGGUCUCCCUCUUGACAGCAGAAAAAACACUGUUUUAGCAUUCAUUUCCUGCAA